CUACUAUCCCGGUUCAGGCGCCAUAGCAGAUCUUCCAGAAGACAGCAGUGAAUUCCAUCCUGACGUGCUGGUUUGUCUUCUUAUGAAAACAGCCUAAGUUCUUGAACUUGAAAUGCUAUCUCCUCUGCAGAACUCUGUGCUAAUGAUAGAAUUUGCAUACUAAUGAUAAUUGCAACCAAGAAAGCUGUAUUCUCUUUCUACUCGAGAUAGAGAGUCUCACUAUGCUGGCCAGACUCGUCUCAAACUUCUGGGCUCAAGCAAUCCUCCCACCUGCCUCAAUCUCCCAAAAUGCUGGAAUUACAGGCAUAAGCCAUCACACCCAGCCAGUAAUUGACUCUGAAAGUAACACACAAAGAUUGGAAAGUGAUCUAAGUUCUGAAUUCAAAUAUCAACACAUGCAUUUUGCUAUUUCUUUGUUCUUUAAUUGCAGCAAGAACAAAUAACAUGAGAUCUAUCUUCUUAUCAAAUUUGUAAGUAUAUAGUAGAGUAAUGUUACCUACAGGCACAAUGUUGUACAGCAUUUGUUCUACAUAAUGUUCUACAGGUAUCUGUAGAACUUAUUCUUCUUACCUAACUGAAACUAUGCCUGUUAAAUGGCAAAUCCCAAUUUUCCUCUCACCCAGCCUCCAGCAACCACUAUCCUACUUUCUGUUUCUGCUAGUUUUACUAUAUUGAACUCCAUAUAUAAGUGGAAUCACAUAGUAUUUGUCCUUCUGCAACUAGCUUAUUUUACUUAGCAUAAUGUCCUCAAGGUUCAUUCACGCUUUCUUAUAUAGCAGGAUUUGUUUAUUAUGGUUGGAUAAUAUUCCAUUAUAUGUUUAUAAGACAUUGUCUUUACACAUUCAUCUCUCAAUGAAUAUUUUGGUCAUUUCCACAUUAUAGCUAUUGUGAAUAAUCAUACAAAGGAAUUGAACAGGGAGCCCAGAAGGAAACUCAUGCUUAUAUGGUCAACUGGUGUUUGGCAAGGGUCCAAGAAUACUCACUGGGAAAAAGAGAGUCUCUUUAAUUAAUGAUGUUGGGAAAACUGAAUAUCCAUAGCAAAAAAAUAAAAUUGAACACUCCUCUCACACAAUAUAUAAAAAUCAACUCCAAGUAAAAAAAACUUCAUGACAUUGUCUCAGCAAUUAUUUCAUGGGUAUGACACCAAAAGCACAAACAACAAAAGGAAAAAUAGACAAGUGUGAUUACAUAAAACUAAAAAGUUUUGCAAAGCAAAAGAAAUAACAGAGUGAAAAGUCAAGCUAUGAAAUGGGAGAAAACAAUUAUAAACUAUAUAUCUGAUAAAAGAUUAAUUUCCAAAAUAUAUAAGGAACAACUUAAUAGUAAAAAGGCAAGUAAGUCAGUUAGAAAGUGGACAAAGGACUUGAAUAGACAUUUCCCCCAAAAUGAUGUAAAAAUGACUAACAGGUAUGUGAAAAAGAUAUUCCCACUAACAGUUAAAAGAUAUCAUCACUCGGCUGGGUGCAGUGGCUCAUGCCUGUAAUCCUAGCACUUUGGGAGGCCGAGGCGGGUGGAUCACCAGGUCAGGAGAUCAAGACCAUCCUGGCUAACACGGUGAAACCCCGUCUCUACUAAAAAUACAAAAAAAUCAGCCGAGCGUGGUGGCGGGCACCUGUAGUCCCAGCUACUCGGGAGGCCGAGGCAGGAGGACGGUGUGAACCUGGGAGGCAGAGCUUGCAGUGAGGUGAGGUCACGCCACUGCACUCUAGCCUGGGUGACAGAGCAAGACUCUGUCUCAAAAAAAAAAAAAAAAGAUAUCAUCACUCAACAUCAUUAGUCAUCAGGAAAACACAAAUCAAAACCACAAUGAGAUAUUGUUUCAUACCUGUUAGAAUGGCUAUUAUAUAAUUUUUGAAAAACUGGUGUUGACAAGGAUGUGGAGAAAUUGGAAGACUUGUACACUGUUGGUGGGAAAAUCAAAAUGGUGCAGCCACUAUGAAAAAUAAUUUGGAAGUUCCUCAAAAAAUUAAACAUAGAACUAUCAUAUAAUCCAGCAAAUCCCACUUCUGUAUGUUUGUACAAUUGAAUUAAAAUCAAGAUCUUGAAGAGAUAUAUGCACUCCCAUGUUUAUUGCAGCAUUAAUCACAAUAGCCAAGACAUGGAUUUGAAAGAUAUUAAUACGUCAGAGAAAUUGUCCAAAAGGAGCUUUGCUCGGUAAAGAAACAAAGGGAGGAGGGGGGUGGGAUUUGUGUUUCUCAAGUUACUUCAAUUUUAACUAUUACAGUGUUUUGAAAUUUCUCCAGUGGAAAUAUAUAUUAAACACAAGUAUAACAGCCAACAAGUUUGACGGAGAGUUAACCAACUUUAACUCAAAGCAUCAUUUUCAAAUGCCUCCUCUACAGUGUUCCUUCUAGUGAAGUAGAUGUUUGGUUAUAUGAAGAGGACCUUUAGUGAUAAACUUUUACAAUAAACAUGAGUAAUCUAUGUAAUCAAAUAACUGUUGAAGAGUCAGUCUUCAAAUUUCAUAGUAUUACAAAAGUAAAUGUUGAUGUCCUAAAUUGUACUCAGGUUUUGUUCAAUAUGAGAGAAGUUAUAAUGUAAUGGAGAGAAUUAUUGGUCCUGUCUAGAUGAUCUGAGGAAACAAGAUGGAGACUGCCACACGAGUAGGAUUCUAAGGAAAUUAACUCAAUCUUGGCAGAGAGUUCUAGUUGUCUCUUCAGCAUUCAUGACCCCUCACUGUCCUCCUUAAGAAGAGAAAUCAAUUUUUAACUGAGCUCCUUAUCAGCUUGUGGUCAUAUGACUAUGUUCUGGCCAACAAGAUACAAAUGGACAUGUAUGAGACUUCUGGAAAACUGUUUAUAGAGAAUCUACUUCUAGAAGGAACACAUUUUUAAUUCUCUUAGCUUUCUUCUUCUACUUGAUCUGCAACUCAGAUAUGAGAGCUAAAGUUUCAGCAGCCAUCCUUGUCUAUGAGGAAAUUCUGAGGGUAAGAACUACGUGGUAGGAUGGAGGGGAAGAAUAAUUGGCACUAACCUACUAGCUCUGAACAACCUAUUUCCAGACUUACUGUGUAAUGUGACAUUUUUACCUAGAUGGCACUGUUUGUGCAAUUAUUUAAAUAUUUUAUUACUUUCCACUCUCUUUACUUAGAAAGUUCUAAAACAUGGACAAAUGAAAAUGUGAUGCAAAUGAUAAAACAAUACAACUGGCACAGAAGAAAUUCUUAGCUUUAAUUGUCUACCCUUUAGAUUUAUGUCAUCCAACUGUCUGCUUAAUUAUGAAAGAAAAUAAAUAAGUAUAAAUGGUAAACACAAAUAUAUAUGCAGUGCUUAAACAUAUUUUUGAAUAUGUUUAAAAUAGUUUAUAAGGAAUAGUUUAUCAUUUGACUUUUUAUGUGGAGUUUUUCGUAGAAAGUUUUAAGAAUUAAUUAUAAAUGAAAGCAGAAAAAUCC
rnacentral:lncRNA from 10 species